AUGAGGUAGAUCCAGAGGGAUAAAGGCAGCAGCAACAGACACCUGACUGCUGCAAGAAGGAAUGAUGGACUUGGACUGACAGGGAAAGCAAAAGGAGAGGAGGUAGGAAUGGAAAUGCUCCAGGUAUCCAGAGCAAUUGCUCACACCCAGAGCAGCCCCAGGUGCAUUCCCACUCUCUGAUGCUCCAGGGAUUCACACCACGCAACAGGGAAGAGCCAGGCUCAGCUGCUUGGGAUCUAUUGAGGAGGUAAAAGCAUCCAUCAAAAGCCAAUCUGCUUCAGCAAAGCAGAGAAAGAGGUUACUCCGGAUUAAUUUUUCACUUCCAAAGCUUUAUGGGGAGCUCUGAAAGUGUCAGGUCGCUUCAAUAUUUUCUGAACGAGAAGCUCAGCACUGGUUCCAAACUCCUCUGUUUGGAUUGUCAGAAGCCGCACAGGAUUUGUGGAGCCACAGCAACAGAGAAGGAGCAAAUCCCUGUGGGAUGCCAGAAUUCAUCCCGAGGGAGCAACUCACAGAGUCGCAUCCACGUGGACUGGCUCCAAUCCCUGUGGGUGCAGUUUCAUCCACUGAAAUCCAUCCUCUGCAAGGUGCCAGCACAGCUGCCAUGGGAAAUAAGGGCUGAGCCAUUGCUGGAAUGAUCUUACAGGAAUGAUCCUCAUCUCCAUUAGGGGCUCAGCUAAGCCAUGGAGCCUUAAAGUUGAUUAUACCUUUCGUUAGGAAUGACUGAAUGAUGUUUUAAAGCUGGAAAAUGAACUCGCAGCUAAGAGGAAACACUUUCUUGGCGAGGCCGUAGAGUAGGCUCCCCACGGAAUAGAUGCAGCUGUGAGAGUCAAAAUUAAAUUGAUAUUAGAAAAUUUCCUGAGGGGGAAAAAAGUCAUCUGGUGCCUGCAGAAAUGGUAUCGUGCAGAGAGCUGACUAGGAAAUGGAAAACUGCUGAAACUCAAAUAUAUAUGUGUGUGUGUGUGUGAGUAUAUAUAUGUCUAUAUAUGUUUAAAUAAAAAAGAAAAUAUCCUCUAA